UACGUAGGGUGCGAGCGUUGUCCGGAAUUAUUGGGCGUAAAGCGCGUGUAGGCGGUUCGGUAAGUCCGCUGUGAAAGUCGGGGGCUCAACCCUCGGAUGCCGGUGGAUACUGUCGAGCUUGAGUACGGAAGAGGCGAGUGGAAUUCCUGGUGUAGCGGUGAAAUGCGCAGAUAUCAGGAGGAACACCAAUUGCGAAGGCAGCUCGCUGGGACGUUACUGACGCUGAGACGCGAAAGCGUGGGGAGCAAACAGG
rnacentral:rRNA from 1 species